rnacentral:rRNA from 1 species
UGAACGCUGGCGGCGUGCCUAAUACAUGCAAGUCGAGCGAACAGACGCGGAGCUUGCUCCUCUGACGUUAGCGGCGGACGGGUGAGUAACACGUGGAUAACCUACCUAUAAGACUGGGAUAACUUCGGGAAACCGGAGCUAAUACCGGAUAAUAUAUUGAACCGCAUGGUUCAAUAGUGAAAGACGGUUUUGCUGUCACUUAUAGAUGGAUCCGCGCCGCAUUAGUUAGUUGGUAAGGUAACGGCUUACCAAGGCAACGAUGCGUAGCCGACCUGAGAGGGUGAUCGGCCACACUGGAACUGAGACACGGUCCAGACUCCUACGGGAGGCAGCAGUAGGGAAUCUUCCGCAAUGGGCGAAAGCCUGACGGAGCAACGCCGCGUGAGUGAUGAAGGUCUUCGGAUCGUAAAACUCUGUUAUUAGGGAAGAACAAAUGUGUAAGUAACUAUGCACGUCUUGACGGUACCUAAUCAGAAAGCCACGGCUAACUACGUG